rnacentral:rRNA from 1 species
GAUGAACGCUGGCGGCGUGCCUAAUACAUACAAGUCGAGCGAACAGAUGAGGAGCUUGCUCCUCUGACGUUAGCGGCGGACGGGUGAGUAACACGUGGAUAACCUACCUAUAAGACUGGGAUAACUUCGGGAAACCGGAGCUAAUACCGGAUAAUAUAUUGAACCGCAUGGUUCAAUAGUGAAAGACGGUUUUGCUGUCACUUAUAGAUGGAUCCGCGCCGCAUUAGCUAGUUGGUAAGGUAACGGCUUACCAAGGCAACGAUGCGUAGCCGACCUGAGAGGGUGAUCGGCCACACUGGAACUGAGACACGGUCCAGACUCCUACGGGAGGCAGCAGUAGGGAAUCUUCCGCAAUGGGCGAAAGCCUGACGGAGCAACGCCGCGUGAGUGAUGAAGGUCUUCGGAUCGUAAAACUCUGUUAUUAGGGAAGAACAAAUGUGUAAGUAACUAUGCACGUCUUGACGGUACCUAAUCAGAAAGUCACGGCUAACUACGUG